GACGAACGCUGGCGGCGUGCUUAACACAUGCAAGUCGAACGGAAAGGCCCUGCUUUUGUGGGGUGCUCGAGUGGCGAACGGGUGAGUAACACGUGAGUAACCUGCCCUUGACUUUGGGAUAACUUCAGGAAACUGGGGCUAUUACCGGAUAGGAGCUCCUGCUGCAUGGUGGGGGUUGGAAAGUUUCGGCGGUUGGGGUUGGACUCGCGGCUUAUCAGCUUGUUGGUGGGGUAGUGGCUUACCAAGGCUUUGACGGGUAGCCGGCCUGAGAGGGUGACCGGCCACAUUGGGACUGAGAUACGGCCCAGACUCCUACGGGAGGCAGCAGUGGGGAAUAUUGCACAAUGGGCGGAAGCCUGAUGCAGCAACGCCGCGUGCGGGAUGACGGCCUUCGGGUUGUAAACCGCUUUCGCCUGUGACGAAGCGUGAGUGACGGUAAUGGGUAAAGAAGCACCGGCUAACUACGUG
rnacentral:rRNA from 1 species